GACGAACGCUGGCGGCGUGCCUGAUACAUGCAAGUAGAACGCUGAAGCUUGGUGCUUGCACCGAGCGGAUGAGUUGCGAACGGGUGAGUAACGCGUAGGUAACCUGCCUGGUAGCGGGGGAUAACUAUUGGAAACGAUAGCUAAUACCGCAUAACAGUAGAUAUCGCAUGAUAGCUACUUGAAAGGUGCAAAUGCACCACUACCAGAUGGACCUGCGUUGUAUUAGCUAGUUGGUGAGGUAACGGCUCACCAAGGCAACGAUACAUAGCCGACCUGAGAGGGUGAUCGGCCACACUGGGACUGAGACACGGCCCAGACUCCUACGGGAGGCAGCAGUAGGGAAUCUUCGGCAAUGGACGGAGGUCUGACCGAGCAACGCCGCGUGAGUGAAGAAGGUUUUCGGAUCGUAAAGCUCUGUUGUAAGAGAAGAACGAGUGUGAGAGUGGAAAGUUCACACUGUGACGGUAUCUUACCAGAAAGGGACGGCUAACUACGUG
rnacentral:rRNA from 1 species